AUUGAACGCUGGCGGAAUGCUUUACACAUGCAAGUCGAGCGGCAGCGCGGCCUUCGGGCUGGCGGCGAGCGGCGAACGGGUGAGUAAUGCAUCGGAACAUGCCCAGUCGUGGGGGAUAACACUUCGAAAGAAGUGCUAAUACCGCAUACGUCCUGAGGGGGAAAGCGGGGGAUCGCAAGACCUCGCGCGAUUGGAGUGGCCGAUGUCAGAUUAGCUAGUUGGUGGGGUAAAGGCCUACCAAGGCGACGAUCUGUAGCUGGUCUGAGAGGAUGAUCAGCCACACUGGGACUGAGACACGGCCCAGACUCCUACGGGAGGCAGCAGUGGGGAAUUUUGGACAAUGGGGGCAACCCUGAUCCAGCCAUUCCGCGUGAGUGAAGAAGGCCUUCGGGUUGUAAAUCUCUUUCGGCAGGAACGAAACGGUGGGCUCUAACAUAGUCCGCUAAUGACGGUACCUGAAGAAGAAGCACCGGCUAACUACGUG
rnacentral:rRNA from 1 species